rnacentral:pre_miRNA from 1 species
CUAGUACUCUUCCGUAAAACAAAAGAUGUCUCGAAUUUGUCAAAAUUUGGAUGUAUCUAAACAUAACUUAGUGUAUAGAUGCAUUCAAAUUUAAUUAAAGUUGAGACAUCCUUUGUUGGACGGAAUAACUACGAG